CAAUAAUAAUAAUGGUAAAAAUUGUGCUACGAAAUGGAGAUUUUUCCAUUUCCCUAAAGAUAAAACAGUACUAAAACAUUGGAUUAAUUUUUGUCGUCGUUGUACUUUGUUCUUUUAAGUUUGAUAAGUAAAUGGAAACAGCCUGAAUUCUUCGAAUAUGACUGCAAAAUGAUGAAGGAAGUACUGUUUAGCAUUUUGUCAAGCGUUAAAAAGUGCGGUAACAAUAUUGUUGCCAUUGUAAGCGAUUUGGGUGGAUCAAAUAGAGGCUUAUAUAACGAUCUUGAAAUUAAUUUGGAAAAACUUUGGUUUUCACACAACGGAGACAGGAUUGUGGUUUUUGCUGAUGUCCCCCACUGAACAAAACUACAGAGAAAUCAUUUUUUGGAUAAGGGCUUUACUAUCAAUGGAAAAAUUGUUAGAAAAGACAUUAUUCUGAACCUGCUCUCGAUUACCUCCAACGAGCUGUCCAUCACGCACAAAAUUUCCUAGAAGCAUUUGUCUGUAAUAGGAGCAGAAAGGUUAAGCUUGCCACAAAAUUGUUCUCCCACACAAUUGCUCAAGCAAUAACUCGAGCGGCUAGUUUAGGUCUACUAGAUAACGAAAAUUGGGAGGAAUGCCAUCGACUUUUCAAAAUUAGUGCCCAAAGUUGGAGUGAGGGAACGCUUGCACGCCUACGGUUUGGCUUUGAACAAGCAAAAUAAUGUACUGGAACAGAUGACGGAGAUGGUUUCAUCAAUGAGAGUUAUUGGUGAAAAUGGGUUGCUUCCAUUCCAAAAAGAUAUACUCCAAAGCAAUAAUGCUUUGAAAUUGCUGCUGGAUGACUUAAGACAGCAGUACAAAGUACAUUGAGAAUUUGGCAGGGUACAUCUGCCACAAACUCGGUAAAGAUAACCCCGAAAUUUGUGCCAAUUCAGAAAAUUGUUCGUCUUAUACUUGGGCGGAUCACCUUUCUCAAGGAGGACUCUCAAAACCAACAGAUACGGAAAUGUUGGUGGAGCAUAUGAGAGCCUUGCAAGCAGUAUUUUAUGACGUAAAUGGUACUGAUUUGCAUAUAUGUACAAAUUACGUCCAGAAGCACUUAGAUUUAAGUAAUUUUGUAA